GGGAAGGGGAAGGUGCCUUUCCGCAUUUGGUGUAGUCCCGCAUUCUGCCAUAUGAUGGCGCCAGAGAACGCGCCUACCGGGAUAGGGAGGGGCAAGGAGGCGAGGAAGGAAAAAAAAGAGACAAGUGAAGAUUGACAUCCAUUAAGGCCAAUGGUAGCUCAAUCUUCUGUUCUCUGACUCCCAAGCUUCCCAUUCUCUUAGGAGGCUGCAUUUGUGGCGCUAAAAAAAGGGAUGGGCGUGGGAGAUUCCAGGACUUGUGCUCGCUGAAGAUACAACUGUUAGUCCAAGCUCCUGUAUCAGCAGUGCUUGCACCUCAUAGGUGAUGAUCAUGAGGGGGACAAGGAGCCUCUAGACUUAAGAGACAAGUUGCCAGCAUUCUCCAGAUGGAGUGUUUCCCUCCGCAGCACCCCCUGCUGGUCAGUUUGACAAGCAGGUGAACAGAAGUUCUCAAAUACACAAUAGUAGAUUCUAUCAAUCAAGUUUCAUAAAGAGUUCUGAUUCCCAGAGAUAGCAGAUUCUGUCAACCACAUUUCAUAAAGAGUUCUGAUUCUAAGAGAGCCAUACACCUGAAGGAGGGAUGGAAAGACUAGGAGAGCCUGGGAUCCUCAGAGAUGGAGAUCUGGAUGUGAAGAGAAAGAGAAAAACAAAAGUCAACAGACAGUACUGUGACCAAGUCAGUGAUGGUGAGAUCAGCAGCAUCUCUAGGACCCUUCUGAUUGACAUGAAGUCACCAUCAAGUAGGCAGAACUCACAGCAGGAGACCUGUCUCUGAUGCUGCUGAGCCACUUUGACAAUCGUUAUAUAGAAAUCUGAUUGGAUGCCGUGAAACUGGACAUCAGCAAAAUGUCAGAAUGGGACUUUCUAGCAUUUAUCCUCACACAGAAACAUCAAUUUAAACAACUAUCUAUGCAUGAAAAUACCUUCAGAAGAGCUAAGAAAACCAGGUGAAAGGUUACAGAAAUGUUGUGUAGCAGAGAAAUAAGAAAAGAUUAAUUGAAGAGCAUAGGAAGAACAAUUUUUCAUUUCCUGUGUCACCCCUCCCACAACACCAGGCAGCAGGGCACAGAGAGAGGCAAUCUCUGUGUCGAAGAAGAAAAGUGAAGUGAGCACUGAACUUUGCCUUGGACUCCAACGCAGAGCCUGCUUCAGUAAAAUCCAGUAAUGGGUAUGCGACUAUUGCCCGAAACUCCAGGCUAGUACCUGCACACUAAGCCAGACCAGAUCACACAGCCCAGGCUCCAGGCUUGCCUGGUGGACUUGGUUUCUGGGUAUAUCCUCAUGCCAGGUCUACCCCAGUGCCUUGGAUGUCAGACAGUCUUUGGGACCAGGCCAGCCCCAGUGACUCCAGGCUCCAGACUGCUCCCAGAACAAGGCCGGCCUCGACAACUCCAGGUUUCAAGCCAGCCCCAGGACCAGGCUAGCUCCUGCAACUCUAGUCACCAUGCCAGUGUCCAUAUAUCCAACCCCUAAUCUGGCCCCUGUGGAUACAGGCUCGAGGACUGCCUAGCACAAGGCUAGCCCCUGUGGUCGCAGACUCCAAGUCCACCCUAGGUUCCAGACCGGCCCAGAACUAGAUUGGCUCACACCAAUCCAGGAUUCAGGCCCACCCCAUUUCCAGGUUGGCAGCCCUAGCCCUAGGCCUUAGUCAGGUAUCUGGCAAGCAUCUGCAGACCCAGGCUCCAGGCCUCCCGAGGCCUAAGCCAGUUUCUGCCACCCCACUCUCCAGGCCAGUUCCUAUGGUCCCAUCCUCUAGCAGACCCAGGGUCCAGGCCCAUCACAGUUGACUCCAGUAUUGGGCAGGUGCCUACAGACCCAGUAUCUAGUACUGCCUCUGUGGACUUAGGUUCCAGUCCAGUUCCUACAGCCCUAGGACCCAAGCCACCCUUUGUGGCCCUAGUGUCCAUGCCCACUUCUGAAUAUGUUGGUUCUAGGACAGAUCUCACACAACCAGCCUCCAGGCCAUUCCACAAUUCUUGGCCCACCCCUGUGGCUACAAGCACCAGUCUAGCACCUAUGGUCUCAAACUUUAGACUGGCCCCAUCUCACCACAGCCCUAGGCCAGCAUCAGACUCCAGGCUGGUUUUUGUAACCCAGCAUCCAACAAACUCAGGGCCCAGCUGUGCUCUAGCAGACCCAGGGUACAGGCCGACUUCAUUAGACCCUGUUGCUAGGCUGGCCAUCAUGGACAAAGUCUCUAGGACCAUCUCUGAAGACUCAGGCUCCAGGUCUGCCCCCGUCUACCAAGAUCCCAGGCCCAUUUCUCCAGAUUCCGGCUCCAGUCCUGCACCAGUACCAGGCCAGUCCCCAUGGACUCAGAUGCCAGGCUUAUCCCAGCAGACUCAGACACUAUGCUCAUUCCAAAAUCUGGCCAGCCCCUGCAGACACAGGCUCAAUGCACGCCUCAGAGCCAUGUUAGCCCCUGUGGACCCAUGCUCAGUCCAGCACCUACUGUUAACAGGCUCUGUACCUGCCCUUAUAGAAAUUGGCUUUACGUUCAUCCCCACAUACCCAAUGAAAAGAUCCACCCCAGUUGAUCCAGGCUUCAGGCCCAACUCUACAGACCCAGGAAACAGGCCUACCAUCUGCUAACACAGGCACCAGGCCAGCCUGCCUGAGGACUUUGGCAACAAGUUCACCUGCAGACCACACUAGACACCCUACAAAGAGUUGCUGGAUGACUAGGAAAGGGUUUUUCCAGAUAAAGCCGGUAUGCAAGAACUAGAAUAAGUUUCUUGUUUUUCAAAUGUGCAGACACUAAUGCACUGCCUAAAAAUCAAGAUCAAGAACAAUCAGAGAAAAAUGAUACCACC
ensembl:lncRNA novel transcript